GCACAGACUCCCUUCCCCCACCUGGUUUGACUCUUGCUGUUCUUAUCUGGGUCAUGGCAUCAUGGUUUUCCAUACCAGGAUGCUUGAGUUCCAGUCUUGGAUUCCUUCAUUGAUGAACAGUGCUGUGGAAGUGAAGGUGAGAAGAUCUAGGCAGGGAUGUUGAACUGCAUAAAGUGGAGAAAGCAAGCUGAGCACAAGCAAGCAUGCAUUCAUCGCACUCUACGUCUAAACUGCAGAUGCAGUGCAAAGCUCCCUCACGCUCCUGUGGCUCUGAAUUCCUAGCAUGAUGGAUCGCACCUUGAACUGUGAACUAAAAUAAGCACACACACAAACACACACACACACACACACACGGAGGUUUCGUCCAGGCAUUUUAUCAUAACACUAGGAAAAGACACUAAGACACCAUAGUUUAUAUUCUGGAGUUGCUGUAGCCCUUUAAACCAACAGCAAUUGCCCAGGUUGCGCCUCCAGAACCCACACAUUCCUACACACCUGCAGCAUCUUCACUGGGGCUACUUCAGCUUUCAAAAGGGUACCCUACGCAUAGGCUGGCCCGACGUCAAACAUGUUUCAUCAUCCAUCUUCAUUUUGAAGUGCUUUGGUUUCAAACAGACUUCAGUCUUUAUCACAAGGUGUUUUCUGUGAUGAUUAAAAUUAAGUGUGAAUACAUUCUGUUCUGUGGAGCAUUUUAGGGCAUUAAAAAAAAAAGCUACUGUAUGAUAAUGCAGCUAACCCAGGGAGGAGGUGUGGGAGUCACACUGAAGCGUUUUGUUGAGCAGUUUCUGUGUUCUGUCCUCCUCACUUCUCAUCACAAUACCCUCUGUCAAUCGGCAAGUUUGAAAAGGUUUUGGUUUUCUUUACUACGUCUAUGCUGACAAGUUACCAUCUAACCUGAAAGAGUCCCAUUUUUCUUUGCUCUCUGGGUGCUUCUCUAGAAACACGCCCGUUCUGAGGAGGUGUUUUGACGGUUUCAUCAAAUGGGAGAGAAUUCUAUAAAUAUGGGCAUAUUUUUAGUAUGCCCAUCUUGUCAUAUACCUGUUACUGAGUUCUUCGAAUGGAGCAAGGCCCUUUGCCUCUGACACUUGUAUCCUUUGUGACUAUGGCUUUCACUAGCUCUUCAUCCACAAAACCAUCCCAAAACUUUAAGCUUCCAAGGCCCCUUUUGGCUGGAUUGGCAGGGCAGAGUGUCCCUGAGGCAUCUCGCAUGGGCCUGGACCCAUUACCUUCCCCAACAGGUCUCCAGUGACACCCCAACUCCCUGUCUUACAUUAACAUUUUAGAUACACCCAGUGUUUCCCAGUUUUGUGACUGACUGUGCCAUAGCUAGGCAAACCACUCGUCCGAUCUGCUCAUCUGUAAUAAGGGAAUACGAUUCUUGUGGGUCAUUGUAGAGCCUGAUCCUAUUGCCUUACACAGAAGAAGGCAAUAUAUGAUGUCUGUUACUGUACUUGUUAGCUUUAAACUUCUCUGGCUGCCCCGCUUAACAAAGUGAGGGCCAAGUGACAUUGGUUACAACAAAUGUCAGGGGCCUUUAUAACCGUGUAUUGUAGGCUUCUCGACAAACAUGGCUUUGGGUUGGAACAGCCAGGCUGACCCUGGGGGCUGCCUCUUGUUCUCUUGCAGCUUUCUUACUGUCUUCAAGAGUGAGUCUCCAGAGCAGUGGUCAGCUGCCUGCUGACCAUGGAGGUAAUCCAGUGUUCACAGUGCGGAUGGGGAUGGGUCUCAAAUGUCCUUUCUGACACUUACUGGCUGUGUAACUGUCACAAUAAAAAAGAGGCAUGUCCAUUUUCUUAUUUAUAAAA